rnacentral:rRNA from 1 species
GACGAACGCUGGCGGCGUGCUUAACACAUGCAAGUCGAACGGAAAGGCCCUGCUUUUGUGGGGUGCUCGAGUGGCGAACGGGUGAGUAACACGUGAGUAACCUGCCCUUGACUUUGGGAUAACUUCAGGAAACUGGGGCUAAUACCGGAUAGGAGCUCCUGCUGCAUGGUGGGGGUUGGAAAGUUUCGGCGGUUGGGGAUGGACUCGCGGCUUAUCAGCUUGUUGGUGGGGUAGUGGCUUACCAAGGCUUUGACGGGUAGCCGGCCUGAGAGGGUGACCGGCCACAUUGGGACUGAGAUACGGCCCAGACUCCUACGGGAGGCAGCAGUGAGGAAUAUUGCACAAUGGGCGGAAGCCUGAUGCAGCAACGCCGCGUGCGGGAUGACGGCCUUCGGGUUGUAAACCGCUUUCGCCUGUAACGAAGCGUGAGUGACGGUAAUGGGUAAAGAAGCACCGGCUAACUACGUG